rnacentral:lncRNA from 1 species
GCCGCAUCUAUCCACUGUCCAUAAACCCUAAUUAUCGAUCCACUGGGCAUCGCUUCUGUUCCAAUGCUGGACGAAAGUAGCGUUAGGAUCCAGUGGGAUCUUCUGAAGAAGAAUUUGUGUUAAAUGUUGUUAACAUGUUGACAGUUCAUAGGUGGUACAGGUUCAUGUGGGUCAUCUUGCCACGUUGAGUGUGCCCUCCAACGGCGAAAGGUCGGAGUGGUUAAUCUUGGCCAAGCGAUGCGGCUCGAUGGGAGUUAUGUCUGGGAUACUUACGGCUCAAUGGCUCGUCAGACAUUUCUUUAAUGUAUUGGAAGAAGCAGCUGACUGUUGUUAAGCUUCUCAACGGCACAUAAAGGCUUCUUCAAGACCUACAUAGCUUGGUUAUAGAAGCAAAAGAUAAACUAGAGACGGAAGUGGUCUAUAUGUGCC